rnacentral:rRNA from 1 species
UACAUGUGGGGCAAGCGUUGUUCGGAAUUACUGGGCAUAAAGGGCGCGUAGGCGGCUUGGUAAGUCGGGGGUGAAAGUCAGCGGCUCAACCGCUGGACUGCCUUCGAGACUGCCUGGCUUGAGCAUGGUAGAGGCUGGCGGAAUUCCCGGUGUAGCGGUGGAAUGCGUAGAGAUCGGGAAGAACAUCGGUGGCGAAGGCGGCCAGCUGGGCCAUUGCUGACGCUGAUGCGCGACAGCGUGGGGAGCAAACAGG